UUUUCAUUUAAUGGAUCGUCUGUCUGGUUGGUGGUUGAUAAAAUUGUUGUGUAUUGAAAUUGGAUUGUUGGGAACCUGCUUCUACGUUUCGAAAAGGAGUAAGUAACCACGGAAAUAAACCAUACCCUCCAUCACCUGAAAAAAAAGUGUUACAAAAGUGAACAAUCUUACAAUGUACAUAAUGAAUCAUUUCGCUGAGGAGGUGGAAGAUUCGAUUCAACAAUAUUCAAUACGUACUGAAAUGCUUUUUUACUCAAGCGAAAGUUUUUGACAAACCUACGGUUUUGAAAUAAUUAAUUUUAUCUAGUGAAAAUUGAAAAUGAAUCAACUUACGUUUCAUCCGGCAGUUCCAUAACAUCUUUUUUGGAUUUUCUCACAUUUCUGCGAAGUUCUCGGUUUGUUGAUAGUCUUAUUCCACUGUUUGGAAGUGGAAAAAAAAGUCCAAUGCUAUCCAUAACUGUUUGUUUAUAUUUGCUAUUGUAUUGUAGUGUAAUAACCAAAACAAUUUAUCCAAUUUUCCAAAGAUUUUAGUAAAUAGAGAUGAAAUUGAUUAAAUAAAUUUCAAUUUGCAAAAAAACAAA